UGUGUGUGUGCAUGCUUGUUUGUGUGUGUGUGUGUGUGUGUGUGUGUGUGUGUGUGCAUGCUUGUUUGUGUGUGUGUGUGUGUGUGUGCGUGCUGUUUCAUUCCUCUGCUCUUACUGAGGUGAGGUCAUGGCGUCUGCCCUCUGAUGCUUUACCAACAAGCUGCUCCCUGAUUGGCUGGAAGGUGUUUGAGCUGACCGACUACACCGGCUGACCCAGGCUUGAGUCUGUUCUGAUCACGGCGCCUCUGCGACGGUUCCUCCGUGACUCGGCUGAACUCCGAUCUCCGACCAAGUCAUUUCCUGAUGAUCUCAUUGAUUUUUGCCUCCAGUUCCUCAUCUGUGAAUGUUUCAGUCGGGCCUCCACAGACUUCCACGCACUCAAACCCACCGGAUCACAGUCUGGAAUUGUGGUGCCACUCAUCUUUAACUUUGGGCUAGAACCAGAUUAGUCACGUGUUCCGUCAGAGAACCUCUGACACAAAUGAAGCCCAGGCAACCUCCUGAUAAAAAUGGACAGAGUCUCAGCUACACACUGAUCUAAGAUAUGAGGCUGAAGAUGUAAGAAACGUCUGGAACAUCGGAACGCUGAAGCAAGAGCUCCUGAUGAGGUUUUCACCACAACAUCUCAUGGUCUGUAAGAAUCCGCUCUCUGGAGAGAACAGACACGCGUUAGCGUUUCCCACCAUGUUCUUAAAGCAGGGCGCCCGUUUACGGGUGCAGUUUAUCCAAGUUCGUUACGGAAUUCCUCAAACGUCGGCACAGCCACAAGCUCCUCCGUUUUCCUGCAAUGCUUCACACAAACGACUGGCCGAGAAACAAGAACAGGGAUUUUAUAAAGCCUGGACAGGAUUUUGAGAAUCCUGAACUCUGCAGCAAAUUCCAGUUUGUUUGUCUUUGUUUCUCCUUCUAAAGAUUUCCAGUCUGAAACUUUCCACAAAUGUCUUCACAGAUCUGAGACUCGAUGUGUUUUCCAGCUCUCUCUUCCAAUCUGAGUUUAAAGCAUUCAUGGAAAAUGUGAGUUUUUAGUCGACAGAUUUCUAAAAAAGUAUCUCCUACCAAAAAGUCUCAACCCCAACAGGAUGUUUACUCGAGUCUACUUCUUGUCUCUUUGUGGACGUGCACUCGGACUGCAGGGUGUCUCUGCAAAACAAUGCAGUGGAAAAUAUUCCUGGUGUUUGGAUGUUCUGCAGGUGGUUUUUCCGACAGUUUCAGCUCCACGGGCUGCUCCCACUUUAGUCAGAACAACUUUGACUGACUGGAAAAGACGGAAGAGAGAAACGUGCUGCUGAUGGUGCAGCUUGGUGCAGCAGGUCCGGAGAGCAGAAAGAGUCGUCUGACAGCUGCUGGACGUCGUGGAACAACUUCGGCUUCACACUUGAUAGAGUUAGUUUAGAGAAACUUGAGCUGAAGGACGUUCUGAGGUGUUCAAACUGAACUCUGACCUUUUUCAUCUCUUCCAGCCUCUCAGCUGUCAGAUCAACCAUGUGAUUUUCCAUCUUCUUGUGCAAAAACUUCCUCGUGGAUUUGGUGAAACUUAAAAUUACAAAUUGUUAGCAGCACGGAAGUCUUGGUUUUAAAGUUUCUGUUGGCUCAGGUGUCGGUCUACGCCGAUGACACCAAGACUUCUGUUGAAAACCUACAGAUUCUUUUAUUCACUCUUUUGUACGAAUGCUUUAUUAGAUUUAUUUAAAUGCGUGUUUGGAAUGAUUUAACCUGCAGGUCACUCCUUUGGUAAUCCUCCUCCUCCUCUUUGAAGCAUGCAUUAAAAAACUCCCUAAAGUGAGGAUUUCUGAACGUGGAGACGUUUGUGACACAAGCCAACAUGAUGAGUUUUCAUCAUUAUUUUCAUAGUUGGAACAUUCCUUUUGCAUCAUUAAUAUUUUACAUUAAAUGAGAACCAUUUUGCCUUGAAUGAAUAAAUAAAUACAAAAACACAGGCCUGCUCUUGUUGUGGAAGUUAAGGUGUUGACCAGUGGCGGCUGGCCAGUAGAGGGCGAUAGGGCGCCGCCCUCCCAGUUUCCCCUGUGUUUUUAAUUUUUAUUUUAAAAAAUAAAUAAAUAAAAUUAACAAUAAUCACAUAUUCUAAGUUAAUUGUGUGUUUUGUAACCAAAAUAAAUCAUAUAUGUAUAUAUCUAUAUUGGUCUCUGCCGGUCUCUGCCGGUCUCUGCCAAGCGGUGGAGGCUGUGUGCUGUUUUUCAAUCACCCAAACAGGACGGGACCAGCUGUCCAAUUGCUGACAAGAAAAUCAAAGGGUAGGAAUGGGAAUGUAUCCAAUCAGCGUCGACGUUGUUUCAGAACGUUUCAGAAGCAUAAUGGGCGAUAGAGCUACCGCCAAGGCUUUCGUUGAUGUUCGGUAGAACUCGGAGAGUCUCGACUCCAGCACGUUUUGACGGUCGUGACGCAGACGUAGACAGUGCGCCUACAACAUGGAUACCGGAUCUCAGCAGCCACUGAAUUCAGUUCGGUCUCUUCUCCAGUAUCCGUUCGAGAGGAGAACUAUGGUGGAAAAACUUAAUGUCAAAGAGCUUGGACCAGAUCAGCCCGACGUAAAGAUAAGCCAGCAGGAGGAGGAGAGAGGUAAACUGUACACACGACGCUUCUCCCAAAAUUGGUACACCAGGAAGCAGUGGCUAGCUGGAUGCAAUCACGCUAAUGCGUUAUUUUGCUUUCCGUGUUUGUUAUUCAAAACGGCUGGGACAGAUAAGGCAUGGAUGAGUCAGGAGUUACAGACAUGAAACAUUUUUCUGAGAAGGUGAAGAAACACGAGUCAUCCCGGCCACACAUGGACAACAACACGGUGAAGCUAGCCAUGCUAGGCAGCAGAGCUAACGUUGCCAUGCAGGGGAACAACAGCAGCUGGGUGCAGAGAUCAGCAGAAAUCAGAGGCGCUGAGCGGCUCCAGCCUGCAGAAACGCCGAGUCUCCGAGACAAGCUCAAGCACAUCCCUUCAUCAUCCCUCCACUCCUCCGCAGGUCCUCCUCUCGGUCCAACUUGUCCCCCUGGUUUCCCCUGAUCCUCGACUCGUCCUGCAGGUUUCGCCUCUGAUCCUGAAGGAAGAGACGUGGGAAAACUGACACCUCUUCCCGGGAGCGUGUCUGGAUCCAGGUGGGUUUCGGAUCAACCGGUUUCUCCGCAGCAGAACUGCAGAUCAGGGCGGGGGGGCUUUUAAAACAGGAAGAAUUCAUUUAUUUAUUUUUAAAACCUUCUUUUAAAAGAUUUGUAAAAAUAAAUAUAAACAGUUUUGUUGACAACGCCUGCCAGACUGUCCUGGGUGCUGUGGCGUCGUUUAGGAAGCCAACAGCCCGGCCUGAUCCGUGCUGUCAGAAGUUCUGCUGCAGGAAAUGGAAGAAAGAUAAACCAUUAGUCAUUGGAGCGCCGCCAAAGAGGCAAAAACGUUCAUUUGUGAAGGUUUUCCAGGUGAAUUGUCAGAAUCCAUGUUUUAUAUAAAGCCUGGGCUGCAUGGUGGCGCAGUGGUUAGCACUGUUGCCUCGCAGCACGAAGGUUGCAGGUUCGAAGCUCGGCUGCGGCCUUUCUGCGUGGAGUUGCGUGUUCUCCCCAUGCAUGUGUGGGUUUCCUCCGGGUACUCCGGUUUCCCCCGCAGAUCCCAACAUGCCCUAUAGGUUAUAAAUUGUACGUUGCUUUGGAUAAAAGCGUCUGCUAAAUAAAUAAACAUAAACACAUUAAGCCUGCCGCAGACGAGAGCAAUCUGCUGAGCAAACAGCCUUGAAUGGCUGUUUGCUCAGCAGAUUGCUCGCUGUGCGCGCCUGAUUUUCACUGAGUUUUACGUCUCACGAGACGCCGAGCCGAAUAUCUGACCAGUCAGACAUUUCCCGCCUCACAGGGGGUAGAAAGUCGCCGUGUGCGCUCUACUGAGCUGCCGGCCGAGCUGAACUAUUCUAGUGGCCAAUCAAAGCGCGUUCUCCGCUCACAUGACCCCAAGAUGUAUUCGGCUGUGGCCCCCUGCCCUGUCUGCGUGUCUGAAAAAUAAACAAAACGGUGCCUUGUGGAUCGAUGGGCCCACUUUUUCCACUACCCAAUCGAAGGGCCUGGGCGGUGGUACUGUUGGAAGAAUUUUGGGUCUUCCAGGCACGUCUCUUGGAGUAAAUCGGCAUAAACUCCUUGCCUGGCCCAUCUUUCCAGCCACCGUACACUUACUUUGCUAACCUUGAAGUGCCGGAGGCGGCGACGCUUCAUCUCGCGUGUGCGGCAGGCUUAAGUAAACUGAGGUGCUAUUUGGCCCUCAGACCCCAGUUGUGAACCCACUUUGGAUAUGUGUGAGUGGUUUUUGCAUUUCUUCAUUAAUAAGAUAUCAGCGGCUUGAACUCACUUUCUCCCUACUUUACCUGACCCUCCUCCUCUCGGCUCGGCGGUUUCUCACUAGUGUGAGAAUGUUACUUGAGAUCAGUCACAGGAGGCAGUGGAUCACCUAAAGGUUCCCCCGUGGUGCCGUUCCUCCUCACUUCUUCAAGGAAACCAUUCACAUUGUGCCGUCCUCUGUUUGAACGUAAUUAAUGGCAGUCUUACCACCGAGUUGGUUCCCAAAGAGUUUAAACAUGCGGUCCUGACGCCACCUCUUCAGAAACCUGGGCCUGACACAGAUGUUUCAGACCAAUCUCCAGUCUUCUGUUUUGGAACAAAUAGUUUAUAAUCCGAUAAAUCUGCAUUUGACUGUGUCCAGGAAACCUUUCAAUCCGAUUUUAAAGCAAGACAAAGUACUGUGAUGUGAUGUUUAUUUGACAUGGACACAUCAAUUACAUUGGACGAACCAGAUGCAUUGUUUAGUGUGUUAGCACACGUGCUAAUUUGCAACACUUGUCCAUAGAACCUUUCUAAAAAGUAGAGUACAUUUAAAUAAAAUACAAAGAGAUAAACAAUAAAUUAAACAGAAAACAGAUUAAAAUUGCAAACAAUUUUCAAUAAAAAAGAAUAAAAAGAAUAAAACAAGGCAAUUUGAGCAGCAAUGUAAGACUUACUGAGACAGCCCUUUUAAGAGUUUAGAAGGAAAUGUUUUUAGCGUGUAACUCUGGUGACACCGUGGUUCUAAUCUUGCUAACUGCUGCGUUCAACACGGUGAACCACAACAUUUUAGUUUCUUGCUUGGAAAACUGCAUCGGGAUAAAAGGCGUGGCUUUGGAAUGGUUUAGGCCAUAUUUAAAGGACAGAACCUUUGGGUGAGUUUAGAGGAUUACGAGUCCUCUGUCCUUUGGGGCUCCACAGGGUUCCAUUCUGGGAUCACUCCUGUUUUUGUUGUCUUUGCUCCCUCUGGGUUUGAUGGUGUCUGCGCCUCGUUCUGCUGGUACCCCUCUUGUAGAUUUGGGUGAUUUGAGUCAAUGCCACAAGCAGGAAAUUAUAAACCUUGAUUUUAAUUUAGAUCCUGGCUUGAUAGCCAGAUCCAGUCAGAGUCAGCCGCUCUUCGUUUGAAACGACAAGUCAUGCUUUUGUGGCUACCCGUCUAGAUUACUGCAGUAUUUUGGGAUGAGUAGCUCAUUGAUUUAUUGAAUGCAGCAUAUUCAAAACUCAGCUGCACGUCUCUUGACAGGCGCUCACAAAUCCAAGCCCAUGACCCCUACGUGAGGUCACUACGCUGGCUACCUGUUCAAUACCAGAUCCAUUUUAAGCUGCUGCUAUGUUUCUAAAUGCUUGUCUGGUGUUGCUCCUGGUCUGCACCUUACUUCUUCACUCAGAGCAGCAGACCUUCUGCGUGUGCCCAGGACUCGAAAGAAGUGCAUCGGGGAUUGAGCUGUCGCAGUGGCACCUGAACUAUGAAGAAGAAGAAGAGGAAGAAAAUAUCACUUCUAUAGCGCCUCUCAAGACAAAAAUCACGAGGCGCUUCACAAAAACAAAAAAAUAUAAAAAUAUAAUGAAGAAUUUAGAAAAUGUUUAAAAAUAUAUUUAAAAUGAGCAAAAAUGGACAAUUGUGAUAAAAAAAAAUGUUAAGAAAGAGAGAGAGUGAACAGGAAAGAGGGAAAUCAGUGGAUCCUGAGGAAGGUGGGAUAGGUGGGGAGAGCAGAAUAAAGAGAGAGAGGUGAAGAAGGUCAUACAAAAGCCAGUUUGAACAAGUGAGUCUUCAGCUGCUUUUUAAAGGAGACCACUGAGUCCACUGAUCUCAGGCUCAGGGGGAGAGUCCCAGAGUCUGGGGGACACAGAAGCAAAUGAUCUGUCACCUUUGACCUUUAGCCUGGUGCUGCACAACCAGUAGGCUUUGAUCACUGGACCUCAGGGACCUGCUGGGGGUGUAGGGACUAAGAAGAUCACCAAUGUAAGAUGGUGCUUGUCCAUGUAAGGCCCUAUAGACCAGAACCAGGAUCUUGAAAUGAACCCUGAAGUUGACUGGCAGCCAGUGAAGCUGGAGGAGAAGCGGGGUGAUGUGGGUGUGUUUGGAGGACUUGGUCAGAAGCCGAGCACAGGCGUUCUGAACCACCUGUAGACGGUUCAGGGAGGUUCUGCUCAGACACGUGAAAAGAGAGUUACAGUAGUCUAAAGCCGGGCGGACUCUGUGCGACUUUUUCACUCGCAGCGUUCAGCUUCAGCUCAAACUGUACGACUUCCUCGCAGAGCAGAUCUCACGAGUCAUGUGCUCACACUGCACGACCCAGUUCUCGCAUGCGACCUGACUGCUCACACUGUACGUCUGGUAGCAACACGUCGGCCCUAAAAAUGUGCUAAAAAUAGCAGUUUUUACUCAACACGUCAGACUUUUUGUCUUGCCUGUUGUCCUUCGGGAGUGCUGCAGGAGGACACACAGGGAUUUAUGGGGGUUGGAUGAGGAAAACGAAAUAAAGAAAGUAAAUCUGUGUUUUGUGAUCAGUUUAAUUUGACAUGAACACGACAAACACGCUUUCUUGACAAUCUUUGUGAGUAAAAAAACGUGUAGAAACAAAAACGAACAGCGUGUGUUAUUAGGGAAAUAGCGGGUGAGCGGUGUUGAUGCAGGAUUGCGCAUGCGCCGUGAGCGGUUCUGAUACUUUUUGGAUCGUAGCUGCUCGCAGCUGCUCGCAGCGCCGCUUCAACAGUGCGAUACCCUCACGAGGGACGAGCGAAAUAUUAAACACACCAGAAGUCCCUGCGACCUCACGACUGCUGAUCGGCGGCUGGUCACGUGGUGUUAAUCGCCUCUCGUAACCCCCUGUACACUACACGACCGCUCGGCGCAAAACUCGCCCCGAUGUCGUGGCUUCUCGCACGACUGGAAAAUCGGCUCAAAAAAGUGAAAAAGUCGCACAGUGUACGCCCGGCUUAAGCGUGAGGAGAUGAAGGUGUGGAGAACUGUCUCAAGUUCAGAGCGGGACAGAAUGGGACUCAGCUUAGCAACGUUCCUGAGCUGGAAGAAGGACCUGACGGAAGGUUUGGUGUGGGAAGCAAGCUGACCAAGAGAGUCUCUGACUUUGGGAACCAGCUUGUCUGGGGCACAUAUGAGGAUCUCAGUCUUAUCUUCAUUCAGCUGAAGAAAGCUCCCACCAUCCAGGUUUUGAUAGAGUCUAAGCAGGUGUGGAACAGCUGCAGCUUAGACAUCUCAUGGGGCUUAAAGGAGAUGUACAGUUGGAUGUCAUCUGCAUAAAGAUGGUAGGAGAUUCCUUUGAAGGAGCUCAGGAUGUACUGAAGAGGAAGCAGAUAGGAGGAGGAAGAGCAGAGGCCCCAGCACAGAACCUUGUGGGACACCAUGGAACUAAGCACCACUGCACAUUAGACAGGCACCAUCUAUUUCUGAUUUUAAAUGGCUCUUAAAGACUCAUUUGUUCGCAGCGGCUUUUAAUACAGGAUGAGUUGUUGGCUUUGGGACUUUUUUCUGUAUUUUAUUUAUUCAUAGGAUUUUUGUUGCUUACAUUGUACCGCUUUGGUUAACUUAGUCGUGGGCAAAGAGCACUAUAGUUGAGUAUAAAUAAUGUUUGUGCUGUCCUUGCACAUUUCCUCCCUAAGGUGUCUUCCACCAACACCCACCGUGGGAGCAAGGCAGCUUCUCUGUGAGGUCAGAGACUCUGCAGACGUGUCUCCAGAUACGUUUUCGUUCUUCCUUUAGGAGAGCAUCAGCAGCCAUCACCGCAGCUUUUAUUCAGCCGUUGUUGCUUGCUGCUUAAUUAUCCUGCAGCGAGACUUUUAAUCUGCAGAGACAAAAACCAAAGCGUGUCUUCCUGCAGAAUCCUGACCAUGUGACUGGAUGCUUCCAGCUCUGAGAUCCGGCUGAUUUACUGCUUCCAGCUCAUUUUGCAGCAGCAGAAUUAGAAAUGAUUCUUCAUCGUUGCGAGCCACUUCCAGUUUCCCAGCAGUAAAGCGUCUCUCUGAUCUCCGCACAACAAACACCCAACUGCUGCAGAAACCGAACACCGCUGUAUGCGUUAGUGUGUGGGAGCCGGCUGGGUGCCCAGUAUCACAUGACCGGGCCAGGGAACGAGGAAGAGGAGGGAGGGGGAGUGUGAGAAAGAAGGAAGGGCGGGCGAGAGACAUAGACAGAGCUUGUGGGAAACAUGGGAGAGAGAGAGCGGGGCCUGGGAACAGACAGCAGGAGCGUCCCUCAGUCAUAAAUAUCUCACAGCUGACUGAGUUCACAGAACAAACUUUAUUCCUGCAGCCAGAUGAUCCAGAAGCAUCAGCAGCAGCAGGAGAGCCCUUCAGAACAAGAGCCUGCACAAUGAGUGGUGAAUCUUGUGUUUGCGGGCUGGGGUUUGAUUUUGUUCCCAGCACGUCGGGGCUGAUCCUUUAAGUGUCUCUAACGUUUUGGAUGAUCAGAGUUAAUGUGUGAGACCGUUUUAAGUGAGCUGGAGUUUAAAUAGAAAAACACUGACUGAUCCAUGGAAUUAUGUCUGUUUCAGAAUAAAAUACAUAAACAAGAAUUGAUCUUUUUUUAAAUUUUUUUUGCUGAAGUGAGCGUCAGUUUUUUAUUUAGAAAAAGUAAAAACCAAUAAAUAGGAAAAAGAGAGGAUUGUUUCGUCCACUGAAUUUGACUCAAGUCGUUUUGUUUUGAAAGAUGACGUUAAUGGUGGCAGCUUGAAGCACGUUGGAUCUUCUAACCAAGCCCCCACAAUGCGGGUCUGGAAUUGAGGCCAACGCUGAAGUGACAACAAUUGCAGUUCCACCCUCAUCCACUAGGGGAUGGUGUCAGAAGCGAGCAAAUCCUCAUUGACUCCCAUGUUAAAAAUACCAAUUUCACAGCAGAAAUAAACAUGUUUACAGCCUGGUACCAAAACAUGUUUUUGGUUUAAAUGAUCUAGUUUACACUCAUGACAACUCUGAGGGGGGUGAAUUUUUUUCUCACUCUUCUGUUUAAGUGUAUUAAAAGCCUAAAAUUCUGUAUAAUUAAUGAGCAUCAGACCCACGUGACCACAGAGCUAGCUCCGUGGAAAGGCCUCAGUAGAGCCUCGGCCUCGCCUGAAAACUGUUCGGUAAUUUUCAGCAUUUGUGUAUUCUUGUUUGGAUAUUAUUGUGCAAUUGUUGGACAAAAUGACUUGCUGUGGCAUUAAUUGCACUAAUAGAGCGUCCAAGGAGUCUCCACUUCAUUGUUUUCGGUAAGUAAAAUUAUAUUUAUGUAUUUAGGUCACUGCCGAGCUGAGCUUAGAUUUUAACAUGUACUGUUUAACCAUGACAUUUAAAUGUAAUAGGGUAAAACCCAGUGCAUUUAACAUAAUGCUGCACUUUAGAAAAUGGGUUGAAAUAUAACAUGUUGGUGGAGCUGGGUUCCCACUAUCGGCUUGUGGAGCUCUCGGAGACCUCUGUGUUCCACCCGGUUUUACCCAGCGGUCAGCCCGGCGUAUCUCUGACUCAGAAGCUCUGGUGUUGUGCACAGUUAACUCCGGUUGUAGCUAGGUUGCUACCUCUGUUAGCUUAGCUCCCACCUCUGCGUUAGCUUUGGGUUAGCUUCAGGUUAGCUUGUAGCUAGUUCGACCGGGUGUCGUCAGUUGAUCCCAGCCUUACAGCCCCACCCUCAGCUUCACCUCUCUUCCCUUUUAUGGAAUUGUCUGGGCUUGACGGAACCUGUGACACGGUCAAAAUGGCGGUGGUGGCCACCUCCCAUUUAUCUUCAAAAACGUGUUACUGGAGUCUAUGGAAACCCAUUGUCCAUAUGUGUAUAUGUCGAUGCUUCUAACAGAUCCCGGAGUUCCUAACCCAAACCAUAUUGUGUUAUUUAGACAUCUGUUGUUAGUUUUCUCUUAUUUGAAUGAAUUCAAACAUUUUUGUUCAUUUUCUGAUUUUAUUUUCUUUGUGCUCAGAACUCUGGGACAGAAUCAGAAACAAGCUAACAGCAUUUUUACUCUUUCAGCCCGUUAAAAAGCUGCUUUCUGAGGUUUUACUGUGAAGGCAGACACAUCUGGCUCCAGGUGUCAGGACUGACCCUUCCAGGUUAAUGUCACAAAUAAGUGGUGACCUACAUCCAUCCGGCCCAUCUGCACCUGUUUAGGUAAUAUAUGAACUUUCAGCCACUUCCUGCAUCUUAGCAGUUUUUUCACGCUGAAGCUUGAAACUCGAGCAGAAACAGGAUUUAAUUUUUCUGCUGAAGCUGUAUUUAUGCUUCCAUCUCCAACUCAUCAGGUUAGCAAACAUGCACACUGAGCUAACUCUGGUUCCGGUUCUGUGAUGAGCUUGAAGCUCGUUCUGGGUGAACCUGUGAGAUCUACGCUGCUAGAUGCUGCAAACAUGAGGAUUACCGAGUUUAGAGUUCAUCUGUUGGACUUGACACAGAUUAGCUGGGAAGGUCUGUGCCUUUGCUUCUUUACGGAGGUUUUAAAGCUUUUGUUUGAUUGUUUAAUGAUGGAAUCACUGUUGUUGAUGACUCUGCUGCUCCUGACUGGCUCCAACAGCAGCGUCAGGUUCAGAUCAAUCCAAACAGAAAGUCCAGCUGAUUUAAAUCUGACAUUCACUUCAUUUCAUCCAGUGUUUUCUC